rnacentral:tRNA from 1 species
AUUCUCAUAGCUUAUACAGAGCCUUAUAUUGAAGCUAUAAAAGAGACUAUGUCUGUGAAUA